UGGGGAAUAUUGCACAAUGGGCGCAAGCCUGAUGCAGCAACGCCGCGUGAACGAUGAAGGUCUUCGGAUCGUAAAGUUCUGUUGCAGGGGAAGAUAAUGACGGUACCCUGUGAGGAAGCCCCGGCUAACUACGUGCCAGCAGCCGCGGUAAUACGUAGGGGGCUAGCGUUAUCCGGAUUUACUGGGCGUAAAGGGUGCGUAGGUGGUCUAUUAAGUCAGGUGUGAAAGCGUGAGGCUUAACCUCAUUAAGCACUUGAAACUGAUAGACUUGAGUGAAGGAGAGGAAAGUGGAAUUCCUAGUGUAGCGGUGAAAUGCGUAGAGAUUAGGAGGAAAACCGGUGGCGAAAGCGGCUUUUUGGCCUGCAACUGACACUGAGGCGCGAAAGCGUGGGGAGCAAACAGG
rnacentral:rRNA from 1 species